GAUCCUGGCUCAGAAUCAACGCUGGGCGGCGUGCCUAACACAUGCAAGUCGAGCGCGAAUGUCCUGGCAACGGGACUAGUAGAGCGGCAAACGGGUGAGUAACACGUGGGUAACCUACCCUCAGGCGUGGAACAACUCUGGGAAACUAGGGCUAAUACCGCAUGACACCCCUGGAUUGCGAAAUCCGGGGUUCAAAGGGGGCUCGCAAGGGCUCUCACCUGAGGAGGGGCCCGCGGCCGAUUAGCUAGUUGGUAGGGUAACGGCCUACCAAGGCCACGAUCGGUAGCUGGUCUGAGAGGACGGCCAGCCACACUGGAACUGAGACACGGUCCAGACACCUGCGGGUGGCAGCAGUGGGGAAUUUUUCGCAAUGGGGGCAACCCUGACGAAGCAACGCCGCGUGGACGAUGAAGACCCUUGUGGUUGUAAAGUCCUGUCGUAUGGGACGAAUGCUCCGGACCUAAUACGUCCGGAGCCUGACGGUACCAUAGGAGGAAGCCCCGGCCAACUCCGUGCCAGCAGCCGCGGUAAUACGGGGGGGGCAAGCGUUGUUCGGAAUCAUUGGGCGUAAAGGGCGCGUAGGCGGUUCGGUUUGUCAAAUGUGAAAUCCCUUGGUUUAACUGAGGAAGUGCAUUUGAAACGGCCGAACUUGAGUUCGGGAGAGGAGAGUGGAAUUCCCAGUGUAGCGGUGAAAUGCUUAGAUAUUGGGAGGAACACCGGUGGCGAAGGCGGCUCUCUGGACCGACACUGACGCUGAGGCGCGAAAGCUAGGGGAGCAAACG
rnacentral:rRNA from 1 species